rnacentral:rRNA from 1 species
CUGAAUAUGGGGGGACCAUCCUCCAAGGCUAAAUACUCCUGACUGACCGAUAGUGAACCAGUACCGUGAGGGAAAGGCGAAAAGAACCCCGGCGAGGGGAGUGAAAAAGAACCUGAAACCGUGUACGUACAAGCAGUGGGAGCACAGGUUUACCUGUGUGACUGCGUACCUUUUGUAUAAUGGGUCAGCGACUUAUAUUCUGUAGCAAGGUUAACCGAAUAGGGGAGCCGGAGGGAAACCGAGUCUUAAYYGGGCGUUAAGUUGCAGGGUAUAGACCCGAAACCCGGUGAUCUAGCCAUGGGCAGGUUGAAGGUUGGGUAACACUAACUGGAGGACCGAACCGACUAAUGUUGAAAAAUUAGCGGAUGACCUGUGGCUGGGGGUGAAAGGCCAAUCAAACCGGGAGAUAGCUGGUUCUCCCCGAAAGCUAUUUAGGUAGCGCCUCGUGAAUUCAUCUCCGGGGGUAGAGCACUGUUUCGGCUAGGGGGCCAUCCCGGCUU